rnacentral:rRNA from 1 species
CAAAUCCUGACCGUGCUGCCCGCCUUUGCGAUGGCUGUCCUCCGCACGCCAAAGAAGUUUUUCAAAGACGUGGACAAGGCCCGACGGCGAUUCCUAUGGGCUCAACAUGACGAGAUCACUGGCGGGAAGUGCAAGGUUAGCUGGCGGAUAGUCACGUCGCCGAUUGACCGUGGCGGCCUUGGGAUCCAGGACAUGGAGCGAUUCGCGCGCGCGCUCCGGCUCCGAUGGCUCUGGCUGGCAUGGGCUGACCCAGCACGGUCGUGGGUAGGCCUGGACGUACCGAGCAGGCUUUUCGGCCCGCUCGUGGACCGCGCUGGACCGGACCGAUCGGUCCUGGCCCGCUGGAAAAUAUGGCCGGUCCGAGCCAUGAAUUUUGGCCCGAAAAUCAACCGCUCCGGUCCGGUCUUAGCUCGGUUAACUCGGUUGGACCGUUUGGACCGAAACAAACAUGGUUGUUUCUCAAUGCGGCAGCUUUCCGGCGACGUGAACCAGCGAUGGGGUCUGAAUCCGGCGUGGUCAACACGAGGCAGUUCACAUUCGAGCAGCUGGACGCAGCGAUGA